rnacentral:rRNA from 1 species
CCCGAAGCGGAGUGAUCUACCCAUGGCCAGGUGAAGCGACGGUAAGACGUCGUGGAGGCCCGAACCCACUUAGGUUGAAAACUGAGGGGAUGAGCUGUGGGUAGGGGUGAAGGCCAAUCAAACUCCGUGAUAGCUGGUUCUCCCCGAAAUGCAUUUAGGUGCAGCGUCGCGUGUUUCACUCUGGAGGUAGAGCUACUGGAUGGCCGAUGGCCCCACAAGGUUACUGACGUCAGCCAAACUCCGAAUGCCAGAGUGUGAGAGCGCGGCAGUGAGACUGCGGGGGAUAAGCUUCGUAGUCGAGAGGGAAACAGCCCAGAUCGCCGGCUAAGGCCCCUAAGCGUGUACUAAGUGGAAAGGAUGUGGGGUCGCGAAGACAACCAGGAGGUUGGCUUAGAAGCAGCCACCCUUGAAAGAGUGCGUAAUAGCUCACUGGUCAAGUGAUCCUGCGCCGACAAUGUAGCGGGGCUCAGUACACCGCCGAAGCCGCGGCAUUCACAUAACACCCAUGCGGGUCUACGGGCCUGUGUGCAGUGGUGUGGAUGGGUAGGGGAGCGUCGUGCAGCCAUGGAAGCGCCGGAGUGAUCCAGGUGUGGAGGCUGCACGAGUGAGAAUGCAGGCAUGAGUAGCGAAAGACGAGUGAGAAACUCGUCCGCCGAAUGACCAAGGGUCCUGGGCCAGGUUAAUCCGCCCAGGGUGAGUCGGGACCUAAGGCGAGGCCGACAGGCGUAGUCGAUGGACAACGGGUUGAUAUUCCCGUACCCGUGUGAACGCGCCCCUGGUGAAUCAGUGAUGCUAAGCGCCCUGAAGCCGCCUUCGAACCUUCGGGUUCUCCGGUGUGUGGAUGCGCGUGAACCGAUCUGGUAGUAGCCAAGCGAUGGGGUGACGCAGGAAGGUAGCUGAGCCAGUCAGUGUAAUACUGGUGUAAGCGUGUAGGGCGUGACCUAGGCAAAUCCGGGUCACAUUCAGCCUGAGACGUGAUGCGUAGCCGAUUGAGGCGAAUUCAGUGAUCCUAUGCUGCCGAGAAAAGCCUCUAGCGAGCUUUCACACGGCCCGUACCCCAAACCGACACAGGUGGUCAGGUAGAGAAUACUAAGGCGAUCGAGAUAACUGUGGUUAAGGAACUCGGCAAAAUGCCCCCGUAACUUCGGGAGAAGGGGGGCCUCGUCUGGUGACGGAACUUGCUUCCUGAGCUGGGUGGGGCCGCAGAGACCAGAGAGAAGCGACUGUUUACUAAAAACACAGGUCCGUGCGAAGUCGUAAGACGAUGUAUACGGACUGACGCCUGCCCGGUGCUGGAAGGUUAAGAGGACCGGUUAGCCAGUAAUGGCGAAGCUGAGAAUUUAAGCCCCAGUAAACGGCGGUGGUAACUAUAACCAUCCUAAGGUAGCGAAAUUCCUUGUCGGGUAAGUUCCGACCUGCACGAAUGGCGUAACGACUUCUCUGCUGUCUCAACCACAGACUCGGCGAAAUUGCAUUACGAGUAAAGAUGCUCGUUACGCGCGGCAGGACGAAAAGACCCGGGACCUUCACUAUAGCUUGGUAUUGGUGUUCGGUUCGGUUUGUGUAGGAUAGGUGGGAGACUGUGAAGCGGGCACGCCAGUGUUCGUGGAGUCGUUGUUGAAAUACCACUCUGAUCGUAUUGGACAUCUAACCUCGGACCAUGAUCUGGUUCAGGGACAGUGCCUGGUGGGUAGUUUAACUGGGGCGGUUGCCUCCCAAAAUGUAACGGAGGCGCCCAAAGGUUCCCUCAGCCUGGUUGGCAAUCAGGUGUCGAGUGCAAGUGCACAAGGGAGCUUGACUGUGAGACUGACAGGUCGAGCAGGGACGAAAGUCGGGACUAGUGAUCCGGCACCGGCAAGUGGAAGCGGUGUCGCUCAACGGAUAAAAGGUACCCCGGGGAUAACAGGCUGAUCUUCCCCAAGAGUCCAUAUCGACGGGAUGGUUUGGCACCUCGAUGUCGGCUCGUCGCAUCCUGGGGCUGGAGUAGGUCCCAAGGGUUGGGCUGUUCGCCCAUUAAAGCGGCACGCGAGCUGGGUUUAGAACGUCGUGAGACAGUUCGGUCUCUAUCCGCCGCGCGCGUUAGAAACUUGAGGAAGGCUGUCCCUAGUACGAGAGGACCGGGACGGACGAACCUCUGGUGUGCCAGUUGUUCCGCCAGGAGCACUGCUGGUUAGCUACGUUCGGAAGGGAUAACCGCUGAAAGCAUCUAAGCGGGAAGCCUGUUCCAAGAUGAGGUUUCUCACCCCCUCGAGGGGGUAAGGCCCCGGCAGACCACCGGGUUGAUAGGCCAGAACUGGAAGCACAGUAAUGUGUGGAGGUGACUGGUACUAAUAGGCCGAGGACUUACCACAA